UGUGUGGUACUCGGUCCAACUUCUCUGUCAUGUGCUCUUUGAUAAAAUCGAGAAGCAAGAUUGUCAUUUGUCAAGUCUUGAAAUGACAUCAUGGUUCUCAUAUCAGAAGUAUCAGAUGUUUGAACUUGUUUUCCUUUGUCUGUAAUUCGAACGCCUUCUAGCCAAUUCUUGUUGUCUUUGCUCAACACUCAUUUAUUGUCUUCGAUUUCUUG
rnacentral:lncRNA from 1 species